GAUGAACGCUGGCGGCGUGCCUAAUACAUGCAAGUCGAACUUGAUUUUCGGAUUGAGUGGCGAACGGGUGAGUAAGACAUAGGUAACCUGGCUUAUAGAGGGGGAUAACCACUGGAAACGGUAGCUAAUACCGCGUGAUGUCGCAAGACCAAAGAGGGGGACCUUCGGGCCUCUCGCCAUCAGAUGUGCCCAGAUGGGAUUAGCUAGUAGGUGGGGUAAAGGCUCACCUAGGCGACGAUCCCUAGCUGGUCUGAGAGGAUGACCAGCCACACUGGGACUGAGACACGGCCCAGACUCCUACGGGAGGCAGCAGUGGGGAAUAUUGCACAAUGGGCGCAAGCCUGAUGCAGCCAUGCCGCGUGUGUGAAGAAGGCCUUAGGGUUGUAAAGCACUUUCAGCGGGGAGGAAGGGUAUAGGCUUAAUACGUUUAUACAUUGACGUUACCCGCAGAAGAAGCACCGGCUAACUCCGUGCCAGCAGCCGCGGUAAUAC
rnacentral:rRNA from 1 species